CUGCGAAAUCAGCUGUGUUGAGUUGAGUCUGUUUCUGCUGCCCGCGCUGGUUCGUUCGUGUUGUUCAGCUGCAUUUUGGACUGCAUUUCUGUUGCUUGGAGUGCAGUUCUGGCUCUGGGGAUCCAGCGAUGACCGCAGACGGAUUCUUAACGUUGGGCUUCUUAGGGGCGGCAGUCCAACCCGUCCGAUUGCCCUUUAUUGCACUUUAUUUGUAAUGUUGGUACCACUGCGUGAUUUUGACAUUUCGGGCGUUCACCAUUCGUAACGCCAUCUUCGCUUAAAAAUCUGGAUAGGACUCGAUCUACAACACUGUCACCUGGGCCAACAAGGUACGCCGUCAACUACACUCUCGCACACGAAACGCUUUCAAUAAUUAGAACUGAAUCUACAAACGCUGGCAAUAAAUUUCACCUUCU